UGGGAAUUUUGGACAAUGGGCGAAAGCCUGAUCCAGCAAUGCCGCGUGUGUGAAGAAGGCCUUCGGGUUGUAAAGCACUUUUGUCCGGAAAGAAAUCCUUGGCUCUAAUACAGUCGGGGGAUGACGGUACCGGAAGAAUAAGCACCGGCUAACUACGUGCCAGCAACCGCGUAAUACGUAGGGUGCAAGCGUUAAUCGGAAUUACUGGGCGUAAAGCGUGCGCAGGCGGUUUGCUAAGACCGAUGUGAAAUCCCCGGGCUCACCUGGGAACUGCAUUGGUGACUGGCAGGCUAGAGUAUGGCAGAGGGGGGUAGAAUUCCACGUGUAGCAGUGAAAUGCGUAGAGAUGUGGAGGAAUACCGAUGGCGAAGGCAGCCCCCUGGGCCAAUACUGACGCUCAUGCACGAAAGCGUGGGGAGCAAAACAGGAUUAGAUACCCCUGGUAGUCCACGCCCUAAACGAUGUCAACUAGUUGUUGGGGAUUCAUUUCCUUAGUAACGUAGCUAACGCGUGAAGUUGACCNCCUGGGGAGUACGGUCGCAAGAUUAAAACUCAAAGGAAUUGACGGGGUCAUAGCUGUUUCCU
rnacentral:rRNA from 1 species